rnacentral:rRNA from 1 species
UACGUAGGGUGCGAGCGUUGUCCGGAAUUAUUGGGCGUAAAGGGCUCGUAGGCGGUUUGUCGCGUCGGGAGUGAAAUCCACUGGCUUGACUGGUGGCUUGCUUUCGAUACGGGCAGGCUAGAGUUCGGUAGGGGAGACUGGGAAUUCCUGGUGGUAGCGGUGGAAUGCGCAGAUAUCAGGAGGAACACCGGUGGCGAAGGCGGGUCUCUGGGCCGAUACUGACGCUGAGGAGCGAAAGCGUGGGGAGCGAACAGG